rnacentral:rRNA from 1 species
CAGAGACUGCAAGCGUUAUUCGGAUUCACUGGGCGUAAAGGGUGCGCAGGCGGCCAAGUGUGUGAGGCGUGAAAGCCUGGGGCUUAACUCCAGAAUUGCACCUCAAACUACAUGGCUAGAGCAUUGGAGAGGGUAGCAGAAUUCACGGUGUAGCAGUGAAAUGCGUAGAUAUCGUGAGGAAUACCAGAGGCGAAGGCGGCUACCUGGACAAUUGCUGACGCUCAGGCACGAAAGCGUGGGGAGCAAAAGGGAUUAGAUACCCAUGUAGUCCACGCCCUAAACGGUGCACACUAGGUCUUGGCGGAUUCGACCCCCCCAGGGCCCAAGCUAACGCGUUAAGUGUGCCGCCUGAGGACUACGGCCGCAAGGCUA